UACGGGGGGGGCAAGCGUUGUUCGGAAUUACUGGACGUAAAGGGCUCGUAGGUGGCCAACUAAGUCAGACGUGAAAUCCCUCGGCUUAACCGGGGAACUGCGUCUGAUACUGGAUGGCUUGAGUUUGGGAGAGGGACGCGGAAUUCCAGGUGUAGCGGUGAAAUGCGUAGAUAUCUGGAGGAACACCGGUGGCGAAGGCGGCGUCCUGGACCAAUACUGACACUGAGUGAGCGAAAGCCAGGGGAGCAAACGGG
rnacentral:rRNA from 1 species